CCUAAACAUAUACUAAAUGCAUUGGGGCUAUACAGGUACAGAUAGUUGUUACAAACAACUUGGGACUAUGCCUGUGGUUACCCACAAACCUAUCUGAGAUUAUCUGGACAUUCUUUUUCUCUAGUGGUCCCUAUGACAACACCUAUGCCCAGUAAGAAGUAGUUACAGAAAGUGGACCUUCAACCUGUGCCCCUCAAGAAUGAGGAGCAGGAUAAAACUAGAGGAGAGAUUUUGUCACUGACUAAUUGCUCUGAGGAACUCAAGGGUGGGUUCAGCAGCAUUCUACUGUUUUUCCAAAUUGGCUUUUUUUUUCUUUUGUUAUGUUAAAGAGAUGCAAUCACCAACCACCCUGAAGCAGACCAAGCCUCACCACAAGAGCUAUACCUCUGACUUUUGCCUUAUUUUUAAUGCUAAGAUCUCUCCAAGAGGAGCUUAGGCCUCAUUACCAUAACCUGCAGUGUAUGUGGAAGCAUGUUUUCCAACUGAGCCUGCGCAAGCAAAGACCCACCUUUCCCUUUGGGACUUAAUUUUCAGACAUGAACUUUGCCAAAUUAAAAUGCAAGUAUCUUUGGUCAGAGACUCAGGACACACAUUUGAAGACAGAAGAUGGAAACAAAUAAGAAUGACUCGAGCAGAGUAAAAAACACAGCCUAAGUUCAUUAUACCCAUUGCUGUCUUUGUCUGUUCUCAGAUCUUGAGACUGCAUUAUGCUUUAGUCAUAUUCUAGUAGCAAAAUUUUUACUUAAGAUUCAGAAGAAACAUAGGGUAAGGGAUCUUAUGUUUACCAAAUAAAAUACAAUUUAUAAGUAUUUUGUUCCUGAAUGAGCAAUUUAUUGAGGUUAAAAUCUUCUCUUCCUUGAAACUCUUUACUAGUAGAAAUAUUAAGGAAAGGAAUGUGGUUUGGAAUAACAGUAAUACAGCUUACUUAAAUCAGAUUUGUAAGCAAACUAAAUUUUUUUUCUUUUUUACUGCAAAUUAUAUUGCAUGGAAUAGGGAAAAAAGAUCAAUAUUCCAAACACAUGCCUUUUUCAUACAAAUGGAAGUACCUAUUAAUUCCUUGUAAAGCCAUGUAUUAAAUUACAGUGGGAGUCUUCCAUGAAAAUAUCUUCCUAUGGGAAUCCAACCUUCUUGUUCUGAACCUGGAAACAACUUUCUGAUGAAUCAUUUUGCAGCCUCCUUGUGGAAUGGCAUUUCUGACACAAAUGAAUUUCUGCUUAACUAAAUGUAUCCUUUUAUUUUUGCCAAUUUAUUGGAAUUCUUUCUAAUAGGUGUUUCACAUUAUUCUUGUAAGGAUCCUGACUGUCAUUAUGGGCAAACAUCAUUGUACUCUGUUUCACCUUUUAAAUUCAGGUCUCCUUCUUCAAUGUCACACUCUCCUCUGUUCCUAAGCCCAUUUUGGUUUGGACAUUUACUAAUAAGUGAUACCUCAUUAAGUCAAGACGUUGUGAAAUGGCCAGUGUAGUUGGAUGCCUAUUUUGGAUGUUUCUUUUUUGUUCAUUUGUUUGUAUUUCAUAAUUUUGAUUUCUGGAGUAUUAAACUUGA